CCCCCACUGGGGACCUGGCCCACAACCCAGGUAUGUGCCCUGACUGGGAAUCAAACCCGCAACACUUUGUUACGGGAUGAUGCUUCUACCAACUGAGCCACGCCAGCCAGGGCUCAAGACUGCCAUCAUUAUAAUGUAGGUUAUUAAAAUGUUCCUUCAAAAAGGCUUCAGUUCAGUAUUUUUUUUAACAGUUUCUAUCCACAGUUUUGUGCUUUGGUCAUCUCAACAAGGGAGAAUGAGGCUUCUUAUCAUUGCAUUUCUAAAAUAGCCUUUCUCUUCCUUUUUGAACAGGCAGCAGGUUUCCAGUAUUUGGUAACCAUUGCUUUGUAUUUGGUAGAGUUUACUUUUUAGCUACUUUUUAGCAUUGUCCUUUCAUCUGAAACCUCAGCUCAGAUUCAUAAACACAAGACUGAACAUACAGGGGCCAUGCUGAGUAUCUGAGCCAAGUAUGACAUGAGAUUGUUCUGGCAAAGCCGGGCUGCAUGGGGCAGCAUGGUCACACACUGGCUGGGUAAAACUGUCUGUCUAGCGUACAGAUAUUUUCCUUUUAUUCCAGUUGAAUUACUAACACGGUCAGCAUUGGUAUUUUAAGAUACUCGUUCAUGCAGGCUGUUGUGUUGAAUAGCAUCUGUCUGUCUGUAAGGAGUCAUAUCAUGAAGAUGGAGGGAAAAUAUAAUAAUAAAUAUUAGCUACCCUUUUCUGAAUCUCUACUGCAUGCCCAUCCCCUUACUUCGUAUACUUUAUUAUAUAGAGUCCUUCCAUACAUCCUGCAGAAUAGCUAUUUCCCCAUUUUGCAGAUAAGGACACUGAAUCUCAGGGAAGUGAAUUCAUUUGUCUAAUGCCAUCUGGCUAGUAAAGUGGAUAGUGGUAAUCAAACUCGGGUCUGACUGAUUUCAAAGGCCCCUUUUGCUAUUCCUUGUGGUCUGUGACAUUGAUACUGUAAAGGAGACUAGAAAAUUAGUUGCUUUGUGUUCAGGAAGAACUUUCUGACACUUAAGUUAAUGCCAUUCUGGAACAUUUUAAUUAUGUUGGCUGUUACUGCCUGUCUGUCACUGUUAUCUUAAUAGUCUUUAUAAACUCUUUAUUGUAGACCAAGAAGAAAAAUGAAACCUUUGAUUUCAAAAUGCUUUUUAAAAGACAUUUCUCAAGUAUUAUGGUGCUUAUCAUGGUAUUUUCUACCUAGAGGUUAAUUUCUUUCGUGUCCAGCUGGGUGUGUAGCUGAAGACAGGUGGUGUGGAGACAAGCAUUGUCUGGAUCAAUGCCGUCCAAUAGAACUCUGUGCAGUAAGGGAACCGUCCCAUGUCUGCGCUGUCCGGUGUGACAGCCGCUGAUCGCAUGGGGCUAUCGAGUGCUUGAAAUGUGGCUAGUGCGACUGAGGAAAUGAAUUUUAAAUUUUAUUUGGUUUUGGUUCAUUUAAAUUCUAGUAAAAAUAGCCGCAUGUGGUUGGUGGGUAUUGUAUUGGAUGGCAGUGCGAUUUAAGGUCA